rnacentral:lncRNA from 1 species
AGAAAAGUUAAGGUCUAGAUGGUAUGGUCCAUUCACAGUUGGAAAAGCUUAUCCCUAUGGUGCUUUAGAAUUGAAGAGGGAUGAUGAAGCCUUGUUUAAGGUAAAUAGGCAAAGAUUAUAUCACUAUAUGGGAAAUUAUGAAGAAAUAAAUGAGGUUUUUGAAAUUGACCUUGGUGAAGACCGAGUAACCAAGGCAAUUGCAUCAUGCCG